rnacentral:rRNA from 1 species
UACAGAGGGUGCGAGCGUUGUCCGGAAUCACUGGGCGUAAAGGGCGCGUAGGUGGCGGCAUAAGGCCGUGGUGAAAGUCUGGGGCUCAACCCCAGAUCGGCCGCGGCGACUGUGUCGCUAGGGCACCGUAGAGGCAGAUGGAAUUCCGGGUGUAGCGGUGAAAUGCGCAGAUAUCAGGAGGAACACCGGUGGCGAAGGCGGGUCUCUGGGCCGAUACUGAUGCUGAGGAGCGAAAGCGUGGGGAGCGAACAGG